AUUUCAUUCGAGCCUCUACUGUAAACACAUUUCUUCUGAACUUCUAUUGUAGGUAGACUUCAGCCGAGCUUCUUCGUAGCCAGAUCCCACGACAAUCGAUUUUCAACCAAGCUUCUACAAUGGGACAGGACCCACCGGCCAGGUCGCUACUCUGAGCUCCCACGACAACCAAUCUUCAACUGAGCUUCUACAAUAAGCGGUCUCCUUUCAGACUUCCACAAGAACUAGACUCUGUCUAAACUUCCAUAGCGGAUG
rnacentral:lncRNA from 1 species